GGGCAGAUACACCUCAUAGGCCUAACGGGGC
rnacentral:sRNA from 1 species